AGUGAACGCUGGCGGCAGGCCUAACACAUGCAAGUCGAGCGGCAGAAGGGUGCUUGCUCCUGGAUUCAGCGGCGGACGGGUGAGUAAUGCCUAGGAAUCUCCCUGUUAGUGUGUGAUAACGUCCGGAAACGGGGGCUCAUACCGCAUUCGUCCUGAGGGCGUAAGUGUGGGAUCUUCGGACCUUCCGCUAUCAGAUGAUCCGAGGUCGGAUUAGCUAGUUGGUGGGGUAAAGGCCUACCAAGGCGACGAUCCGUAACUGGUCUGAGAGGAUGAUCAGUCACACUGGAACUGAGACACGGUCCAGACUCCUACGGGAGGCAGCAGUGGGGAAUAUUGGACAAUGGGCGAAAGCCUGAUCCAGCCAUGCCGCGUGUGUGAAGAAGGUCUUCGGAUUGUAAAGCACUUUUAGUUGGGAGGAAAGGCAGUAGGUUAAUACCUUGCUGUUUUGACGGUACCAAAAGAAUAAGCACCGGCUAACUUCGUG
rnacentral:rRNA from 1 species